rnacentral:lncRNA from 1 species
CAUCAAUCGAUCCAGCAGAUGGAAAAGCUGGUUCUGGAGAUGAAAUUUCGAUGGUGAAUCGAUUGAUUACUGAUCCAAACAGCCCAUACUAUCUGCAUUAUGGUGAUAACACUGGAAUGCAACUUAUUUCAAUUGAGCUCACUGAAGAGAAUUAUGCGACGUGGAGUUGUGCAGUCAUCAUGGCACUAAAUGCCAAAAAUAAGGAGGGGUUCGUUGAUGGAUCAUUCACUAAACCACAUCAGAAGGAUCCUUUUUACGGUGCUUGGAGGAGAUGUAAUCAUGUGGUUUCCUCAUAGAUGAUUCAUGCCAUUUCAAAGGAGCUUUACCCAAGUGUGAUGCACAAUGAUUCCGCAAGAGAAAUCUAGAUUGAACUUAGGGAUCGCCACAGUCAAGGUAAUGGUCCUAGAUUCUAUGAAAUUAAGAAGCAAAUUGCUUCCAUCUCUCAGUCAAACAACUCCGUAAACUCCUAUUUUAACAUACUCAAAAGAACUUUGGGAGAAACUUGAGAAUUAUAGACCAAAUGUUAGUGGUACUGACUACAAAUCUGAGGAUCAGAUCAUGCAAUUUCUGAUGGAGCUAGAUGAUCAAUUUUCACAUGUGAGCAAUCAGAUCCUACUGAUGGAUCCCAUGCGUUCACUCAAUAAGGUUUUUGCUCUAAUUCUACAAGAUGAAAGGCAAAAGGAGGUGGUGGCUAAGAAACAAAAGAAUUUUGAUGCUACUGCCUUUGUUGGUAAGAUGGUUCACAAUUCAAUUGGUAACCAAAGAGCAAGCUCGUUUAAUCAGCUUCAAAGAAAAGAUAAACCGAUAUGUAGUCAUUGUGGGAUGGUAGGACAUCUUAAGAGUAAGUGCUAUAACUUGAUUGGUUAUCAUCUGGGUCACAGGCUAGCUAAAGGAAAAGCUCCAGUUGCCAAUGCUAUUGGUCCAAUUGCCAAUUCUGGCUCAGACAUUGUUAAUUUCUUGUCAAACAUCACUAUCACAAGAAGACAAUGCCAGCAAAUUUGGCCAUGUUAGCUCCACAGUUGAAAGGGAAAACUUCUGCUAGUCAUCAACAGUCUUAGGAAGUGAUUUCAUCAUCAUCUUAAAUGCCAGUUAAUGAUUCCAUAGUUGGAGAUAAGUGGAUUUUGGACACUGGAGCCUCAGAGUACAUGGUGUGCUCAAUUAAGCAUCUGAUGACUGUAAAUGCAAGAAUUAAAGCUAUUGUGAGACUGCCUAAUGGUGACAGUGCUUUAGCCACACAUAUUGGGACAAUAAAGUUGUUCAAUACCUUGAUACUGACAAAUGUU